rnacentral:rRNA from 1 species
UACGUAGGGUGCAAGCGUUAAUCGGAAUUACUGGGCGUAAAGCGUGCGCAGGCGGUUUUGUAAGUCAGAUGUGAAAGCCCCGGGCUUAACCUGGGAAUGGCAUUUGGGACUGCAAGGCUGGAGUUUGGCAGAGGAGACUGGAAUUCCUGGUGUAGCAGUGAAAUGCGUAGAUAUCAGGAGGAAUACCGAUGGCGAAGGCAGGUCUCUGGGCUAUAACUGACGCUCAUGCACGAAAGCGUGGGGAGCAAACAGG